rnacentral:rRNA from 1 species
UACAGAGGGUGCGAGCGUUAAUCGGAAUUACUGGGCGUAAAGCGUGCGUAGACGGUUAUUUAAGUCGGGUGUGAAAGCCCCGGGCUCAACCUGGGAAUUGCAUUCGAGACUGAAUAGCUAGGGUACGGUAGAGGGAAGUGGAAUUUCCGGUGUAGCGGUGAAAUGCGUAGAUAUCGGAAGGAACAUCAGUGGCGAAAGCGACUUCCUGGACCAGUACCGACGUUCAGGCACAAAAGCGUGGGGAGCAAACAGG